rnacentral:misc_RNA from 1 species
UUAAGUUCAGCGGGUAGUCCUACCUGAUUUGAGGUCAAAAAUGUCAAGAGAUUGUCCUAAAAGGACGAUUAGAAGCUGGUCUGAAAGCCAAACCCAUGCACAGCGUAGAUAAUUAUCACACUGAUAGAGGGAAGCCAACCCGCUAAUAUAUUUCAGGAGAGCAGACCACACAAUUAAGGCAGACCUGCAAAACCCCCACA